GCUAUACAUGCAGUAGAACGCUGAAAGAGAGGAGCUUGCUCUUCUUGGAUGAGUUGCGAACGGGUGAGUAACGCGUAGGUAACCUGCCUUGUAGCGGGGGAUAACUAUUGGAAACGAUAGCUAAUACCGCAUAACAAUGGAUGACACAUGUCAUUUAUUUGAAAGGGGCAAUUGCUCCACUACAAGAUGGACCUGCGUUGUAUUAGCUAGUAGGUGAGGUAACGGCUCACCUAGGCGACGAUACAUAGCCGACCUGAGAGGGUGAUCGGCCACACUGGGACUGAGACACGGCCCAGACUCCUACGGGAGGCAGCAGUAGGGAAUCUUCGGCAAUGGGGGCAACCCUGACCGAGCAACGCCGCGUGAGUGAAGAAGGUUUUCGGAUCGUAAAGCUCUGUUGUAAGUCAAGAACGAGUGUGAGAGUGGAAAGUUCACACUGUGACGGUAGCUUACCAGAAAGGGACGGCUAACUACGUGCCAGCAGCCGCGGUAAUACGUAGGUCCCGAGCGUUGUCCGGAUUUAUUGGGCGUAAAGCGAGCGCAGGCGGUUUGAUAAGUCUGAAGUUAAAGGCUGUGGCUCAACCAUAGUUCGCUUUGGAAACUGUCAAACUUGAGUGCAGAAGGGGAGAGUGGAAUUCCAUGUGUAGCGGUGAAAUGCGUAGAUAUAUGGAGGAACACCGGUGGCGAAAGCGGCUCUCUGGUCUGUAACUGACGCUGAGGCUCGAAAGCGUGGGGAGCGAACAGGAUUAGAUACCCUGGUAGUCCACGCCGUAAACGAUGAGUGCUAGGUGUUGGAUCCUUUCCGGGAUUCAGUGCCGCAGCUAACGCAUUAAGCACUCCGCCUGGGGGAGUACGACCGCAAGGUUGAAACUCAAAGGAAUUGACGGGGGCCCGCACAAGCGGUGGAGCAUGUGGUUUAAUUCGAAGCAACGCGAAGAACCUUACCAGGUCUUGACAUCCCGAUGCUAUUUCU
rnacentral:rRNA from 1 species